rnacentral:rRNA from 1 species
CGCAGCUUAGGUGGGAGGCUAUGAACCUUUUCUUCUGGGAAGAGGGGAGCCAUCAGUGAGAUACCACUCUUGGUAAGCUAGAGCGCUCAGUCUUCACCGUCAUCCGGUAAGACGACAGUUUCAGGCGGGCAGUUUGACUGGGGCAGUCACCUCCCAAAAGGUAAUGGAGGUGUGCAAAGGUUCCCUCAGGCUGGACGGAAAUCAGCCAUAGAGUGUAAAAGCAUAAGGGAGCUUGACUGCGAGACUGACAUGUCAAGCAGAGACGAAAGUCGGCUUUAGUGAUCCGACGGUGCUGUGUGGAAAGGCCGUCGCUCAACGGAUAAAAGUUACUCUAGGGAU